GCGAAGAGGCUGGAGGAGCUGGCCGCGGUCCGGUCGGCCACGUCGCGGUGCAGUCCCUCGGAGUGGGCGAG
rnacentral:tRNA from 1 species